UACGUAGGGGGCAAGCGUUGUCCGGAUUUAUUGGGCGUAAAGAGCUCGUAGGCGGUUUGGUAAGUCAGGUGUGAAAUCUCCACGCUCAACGUGGAGGGGCCACCUGAUACUGCCAUGACUGGAGUCCGGUAGAGGAGUGUGGAAUUCCAGGUGUAGCGGUGAAAUGCGUAGAUAUCUGGAGGAACACCGGUGGCGAAGGCGGCAUCCUGGACCAACACUGACACUGAUGAGCGAAAGCCAGGGGAGCAAACGGG
rnacentral:rRNA from 1 species